rnacentral:rRNA from 1 species
AGAGUUUGAUCCUGGCUCAGAACGAACGCUGGCGGCAGGCCUAACACAUGCAAGUCGAGCGAGAAGGUACCUUCGGGUACUGGGCAGCGGCGGACGGGUGAGUAACGCGUGGGAAUAUACCUUUUGGUGGGGGACAACAGUUGGAAACGACUGCUAAUACCGCAUAAGCCCUUCGGGGGAAAGAUUUAUCGCCAAAAGAUUAGCCCGCGUAAGAUUAGAUAGUUGGUAAGGUAACGGCUUACCAAGUCUACGAUCUUUAGCUGGUCUGAGAGGAUGAUCAGCCACACUGGAACUGAGACACGGUCCAGACUCCUACGGGAGGCAGCAGUGGGGAAUAUUGCGCAAUGGGGGAAACCCUGACGCAGCCAUGCCGCGUGAGUGAAGAAGGCCUUAGGGUUGUAAAGCUCUUUCAAUAGUGAAGAUGAUGACGGUAACUAUAGAAGAAGCUCCGCUAACUU